GACGAACGCUGGCGGCGUGCUUAACACAUGCAAGUCGAACGGAAAGGCCCUGCUUUUGUGGGGUGCUCGAGUGGCGCACGGGUGUGUAACACGUGAGUAUCCUGCCCUUGACUUUGGGAUAACUUCAGGAAACUGGGGCUAAUACCGGAUAGGAGCUCCUGCUGCAUGGUGGGGGUUGGAAAGUUUCGGCGGUUGGGGCUGGACUCGCGGCUUAUCAGCUUGUUGGUGGGGUAGUGGCUUACCAAGGCUUUGACGGGUAGCCGGCCUGAGAGGGUGACCGGCCACAAGGGGACUGCGAGACGGACCAGAAGCGUACGGGAGGCAGCAGUGGGGAGUAUUGCAGAACGACGGGGAGUGUGAGGCAGAAACGCUGGGUGCGGGAUGCCGGCUUUCGGGUGGUAAACAGCUGUGGAAGGUGAUGAAGAGUGAGUGACGGUACCGGGUAAAGAAGCAACGGCUAACUACGUG
rnacentral:rRNA from 1 species